rnacentral:rRNA from 1 species
UGGGGAAUAUUGCACAAUGGGCGCAAGCCUGAUGCAGCCAUGCCGCGUGUGUGAAGAAGGCCUUCGGGUUGUAAGCACUUUCAGCGAGGAGGAAGGUGGUGAGCUUAAUACGCUCAUCAAUUGACGUUACUCGCAGAAGAAGCACCGGCUAACUCCGUGCCAGCAGCCGCGGUAAUACGGAGGGUGCAAGCGUUAAUCGGAAUUACUGGGCGUAAAGCGCACGCAGGCGGUUUGUUAAGUCAGAUGUGAAAUCCCCGGGCUCAACCUGGGAACUGCAUUUGAAACUGGCAAGCUAGAGUCUCGUAGAGGGGGGUAGAAUUCCAGGUGUAGCGGUGAAAUGCGUAGAGAUCUGGAGGAAUACCGGUGGCGAAGGCGGCCCCCUGGACGAAGACUGACGCUCAGGUGCGAAAGCGUGGGGCAGCAAACAGGAUUAGAU